rnacentral:rRNA from 1 species
ACGGGUGAGUAACGCGUGGGUAACCUGCCUUAUACAGGGGGAUAACAGUUAGAAAUGACUGCUAAUACCGCAUAAGCGCACAGGAUUGCAUGAUCUGGUGUGAAAAACUCCGGUGGUAUAAGAUGGACCCGCGUCUGAUUAGCUUGUUGGUGAGGUAACGGCCCACCAAGGCGACGAUCAGUAGCUGACCUGAGAGGGUGACCGGCCACAUUGGGACUGAGACACGGCCCAAACUCCUACGGGAGGCAGCAUG